CCUACGUGAGGCAGCCGUGAGGAAUAUUGGUCAAUGGGCGCGCGCCUGAACCAGCCAAGUAGCGUGAAGGAUGACUGCCCUACGGGUUGUAAACUUCUUUUAUAAGGGAAUAAAGUGAGGCACGUGUGCCUUUUUGUAUGUACUUUAUGAAUAAGGAUCGGCUAAAUUCGUGCCAGCAGCCGCGGUAAUACGGAGGAUCCGAGCUUUAUCCGGAUUUAUUGGGUUUAAAGGGAGCGUAGAUGGGUUGUUAAGUCAGUGGUGAAAGUUUGCGGCUCAACCGUAAAAUUGCAAUUGAUACUGGCAGUCUUGAGUACAGUUGAGGUAGGCGGAAUUCGUGGUGUAGCGGUGAAAUGCUUAGAUAUCACGAAGAACUCCGAUUGCGAAGGCAGCUUACUAAACUGCCACUGACAUUGAUGCUCGAAAGUGUGGGUAUCAAACAGGAUUAGAUACCCUUGUAGUC
rnacentral:rRNA from 1 species